rnacentral:misc_RNA from 1 species
UCCCCGUUAUCCGAGGCAGUCUCCCGAGAGUGCGCCCCUUGCGGGGGUGGCAACACGGAAUGGGGGUUGCGCUCGUUGCGGGACUUAACCCAACAUCUCACGGCACGAGAUGACGACAGCCAUGCACCACCUGCGCAGAAGUCCCUUGCGGGAGGUUCUCGCUUUCGCGAGAAUUUCCUCUGCAUGUCAAACCCAGGUAAGGUUCUUCGCGUUGCCUCGAAUUAAACCACACGCUCCGCUGCUUGUGCGGGCCCCCGCCUAUUCCUUUGAGUUUCAGCCUUGCGACUGUACUCCCCAGGCGGCAUAUUUAACGCGUUAGCUCCGGCACGGACAGAAUGAACUGCCCACACCAAAUAUGCAUCGUUUAGGGCGUGGACUAC